ACUCUCCACCGGCCGGCGGCGCAGCACCGAGGAAUUACCGGGGAGCUCCGCUGGUAUGGUCACCGGACUAGACAGGGGAAGCGCGCCGCGGCAGCCGGCUUGGUCAGCGUGGAUUUUUACUUGGAACAAAAUAGUAAACCCCAGACAUACAGUGAGGGAUACCCUACUGUUCUACACUUAACACCGGUGCCGGCAUAUAGGGUUAUGCCCGCACUUGCCAACGACUCGGGGUUCCGAACAGUGGAGACCAUCUGAGUGCACGAAGGCAGUUUCACUCUACAUGAAGACAAACACAACAGUUACUCAAGAAUACAAUCAAAAAGUGGAAGAAAAUAACCAGGUUAACGUCACCAUGCCCACCCUGAGAUGCAGACUACAGCAGGAAUUUACUGGCCAGCACGAAACCUAGUCGUGGAAGGAUUGGGGUGUGCAUUCAUGUGUUUCACGCAAGAAAGUUGAAAAACAAGCACUGAAUGCAACAGCAUCGUGAAAGCAAAGAAAAAUAAAAAAAGAAAAAAGCAAGACUGACACAAACAUACAAAAUAGAAAACACACAAGUGAAUAAAUUCCUUACAAAAAACAUCACUAUCACAUGUAUCACACAGUUAAGUUAUAAAAAAAAACGACAAGCAUCAUAUAGUUGAAACUAAAAACAUAUUUGAAGCAUUAUAAGAUUGAAUAUGCGCUGCACCUUGUUCUUUCUUAUUAGCAACAAAAUUUGUUCUUUCUUGAUAGAAGAAAACAUAUUUGAAAUAUCAAUAAAGACAAUCAUUAAUAUUCUGUGUGCAAAAAGCCACAGUUUGUCCGAAAAGGCGCCUUUUGCAUGCAUGGUAACAUAGCCAUAGGCCUUUUCUGCUUGGUCUGAUGACCACAAGGCCAGAGGCUACCUCAAAACCAAUUCCCUAGGGAAUGCAUUCGUGCAAUUUUUGAAAUUCUUUCAAAGCGAUCGUAGUACUUACACAAAUGCCUC